CAGUAGCCGCGGUAAUACGUAGGUGGCAAGCGUUGUCCGGAAUUAUUGGGCGUAAAGGGCUCGCAGGCGGUUUCUUAAGUCUGAUGUGAAAGCCCCCGGCUCAACCGGGGAGGGUCAUUGGAAACUGGGAAACUUGAGUGCAGAAGAGGAGAGUGGAAUUCCACGUGUAGCGGUGAAAUGCGUAGAGAUGUGGAGGAACACCAGUGGCGAGGGCGACUCUCUGGUCUGUAACUGACGCUGAGGAGCGAAAGCGUGGGGAGCGAACAGGAUUAGAUACCCCCGUAGUCCCUGUCUCUUAUAC
rnacentral:rRNA from 1 species